UACAGAGGUCUCAAGCGUUGUUCGGAUUCAUUGGGCGUAAAGGGUGCGUAGGCGGCGCGGUAAGUCGGGUGUGAAAUCUCGGAGCUUAACUCCGAAACUGCAUUCGAUACUGCCGUGCUUGAGGACUGGAGAGGAGACUGGAAUUUACGGUGUAGCGGUGAAAUGCGUAGAUAUCGUAAGGAAGACCAGUGGCGAAGGCGGGUCUCUGGACAGUUCCUGACGCUGAAGCACGAAGGCCCAGGGGAGCAAAACGGG
rnacentral:rRNA from 1 species